UUCCGUUAAAUUAAAAAAAAAAACUGUUGACGUUGAGGUUUACUUGAAUCCUGUUUGUAAAAGGAUUCUUUUACCGUUAUAUUACCAGUUCUGAGUAAUCAAACUGACGUGUCUUAUUGAAAUUCGUAAGUAGAAUUUAGUAAAGGAUACCAGGAAAAACUACAGAAAGCCAUGCUACUAAAAGAUAGUCACUCAAGGAAAGUAGACCGAUAUUUGCUAUUUUUGGACUUUGACAAACAAUAAAUUCACGCGUGUCACUAUGAGUGGGUUCUAUAUAAAAUAACCACUCAGUUAAAUAUAUACAUAAAUAUUGUUGUGUAAAACUAUCUAAGCAGUAAUGUGUCGAUUGAUUAUAAUUUCCACACCUUGAUGAGGAGCGCUAGAUACAAUAAUGAAAUAAGAGACGAAAUCCAAUACCCAUUGUUAGUCUGUUUAGCCAGUCAGCAGCGUUCAAUAAUAAUGCUGUCACGUGUAUAACAGGUUUCAUCUAUACAACUUCCGUUUGCGUACUGCAUCCCUCCAACACGUGGUAGCUAAGUUAAGCUUUGUUCAUUCUUACAGUGUUAAUUAGGUUCAUAAUCCAAGCAUUGUUUUUUUUCUUUGAUAAGUACCUACUUUUUGUUCAUUAAAAACUCACCGGUGGACUAUUUAGUGGAUUUUAAGCCAUCAGUGCAAUAAAAUUUUGUUUAUUUAUUUAUUGUUUAGGUGGGUGGAUGAGCUCACGGCCCACCAUGUGUUAAGUGGUUAUCGGAUCCCAUAGACAUUUACAACAUAAAUGUCGCCACAUACCUUGAGAUAUAAGUUCUAAGGUCUCAGUAUACUUACAACGGCUGCCCUGUGGUCUCAGUAUGGUCUCAGUAUAGUUACAACGGCUACCCCGUGAUAUUGCUCGGUAAACCGACGGCGACGGUCCGAAUGUUCUUGUUCAGAACUAUACAAGUGCAAUAUGCAAGCUAACUUGAAAAUGUCGUAAGAGAGAUUCAGGCAUCUGUCAAAUAUCUUGCGUUGUAUGAUGGCUACCUGCCACAGCCCCACUCUUUAAACCGAAACGAAUUACUGCUUCACGGCAAAAAUAAGCAUGGUGGUGGUACCGCACACCCAUGCGGACUCACAAGAGGUCCUACCACCAGUAGAGAUGACACACAAUAUGUAACAUUACUUUCUAUAGUAAUCGAGUGUUUCAUUUUAUUACAGUAAUAAAGUGCUUUAAAUUAAUAAUCGAGAAACUACAGAUUAACUAUUUCAAACAGUUUUUAUGGUGGUGAUCCAUGACAGUUCCACCAUGUUGGCCUGCUUCCGGUUGGUGAGGUCGGCGCGCAUUGACCGCGCCUACUCGUAAAUUAACUACCUAUCUGACUUUCAAAUACUAAGUAUUUGCAUUAGAUUAACUGAUUACAUAAAAGUCAUUGAAAAAGGUUGUUGUCAUCCAGUCAUUUUAAAACAUAGUUUUAAAAGAAAUAUAUUCUUACAUUAUUAAAAUAAAAUGUCAAAUUUAUCAUUCACGUUCGUUUCUGUAAUAAGCAGUACUUUUGUACUGACUAUGUAAAUCCUGUAAAUACAAGGUUAGUUGUUUCAAAGAAACUUGUAUUUGGUAAUAUUAAGUAAUAAUUCGGUUUGAAGUAGUUCGAAUAAUAAGGCAUAAUGUUAAAAUGGCAAAUCGAUUUUCCAUUGAGAUGGAUUUACUGCAUCGCAAUGUCAAAUUGAAACAUACUUUCAUUUGAUUUCAACGGUUGGCUGAACGAAGUAAUGUCGACUAUACAGCCAAUAAUAGUAAUUGCUUUUACAUUGAAGGAAUACUAUUACUGAAGGAAUACUGAUUAAAAUAGUGCAGUACUAAUGCAAAGAGUUUCCUUAUAUUUAAUUUCGCCAAAAAAAAAAUAUGUUGAUAGUGCGUAUCCGAUUUAUUUUAAAUAAAGCUUGAAGUAUUUUUCACAUAAAAGGAAUCAAAUCGCCUUAAAUGGUUUUCUCGAUUACGAUAUAAAAUCGAUUACUGAUUAAAAAUCAUCUAUCUCUCAAGCUGUACUACCAAAUCCAAGAGGCGACCAAGAAUUACGUACUUUUUGAUCACAAAUGGAAAUUCAAUACUCAAUUUAUUGUUUCUGCUUACACAAAACGUAUUUCUAAUCUAUGUACAUACAUACGUUUUCUUUUCGGUUUUCUUUUUUUACAUCCAAUACAAUGAUAAACAAUAUUAAUAAAUAAUCAAUUUAGAUUAAAAAAGUUAUUCUUUAAAUAUAUUUUUUUGUUAUUAAUCUGAGUUGAUAAAGGUUGGCGUAUUUAUCAAGGUUUCCAUGACCAAAGUUGUUUUGGAAAAGUAUGCUGAAGUACUAGCUAGAAGUGAAACCAUAACUAAUCGAAUAACACGAAAAAACGUUUCGUACGUGUCUGGUUAUAAUAAAGUUUGCGUGCGUGAAUUAGUUAGUAUUUUGUGUAACAUGCAAUGUAAAGUGAAUUAUUUUAAUGCUGAAUAAGCAUCUCAUAUCGGUUUUUAGUUUUAAUAAAAGUGAAAUAUUUUAUUUACAAAACUUUCCUUCUGUUCUUUUCUCGCUUUUGUUUAAACUUUUUUUUUGCUGGGUCAUUAUUAACUUUUCCCGCCAGCGUAGACUUCACGUGUCCCUGUACUGAUACGGUUCUCGUACGAUACGAGAUUCGGCAGAUCUAAUAAAAGCAGGAAUAGUUAAUAUGUGGCAGCUUAUAGAGUUCCAAACUGAUACUAGGCCGGGAGUUUACUUACUGGCGGUAGGAGAUCUAGUGAGCCCACAUUGGCGCACGUGCUUUUCGGGACGAGGGAGCACCGCCAUUGCAAACACGAGUGACCUGCAUUGAGCAAACAAUACGGAUAUUUCUACGGAAUGAUUUAAACUGUAUAUUAUUCUAAAUGAAAUAAAGGAAUGCUUAGAUCAAGUAAAAGUAAUGUGAACUAAAAA